UACGUAGGGUGCGAGCGUUAAUCGGAAUUACUGGGCGUAAAGCGUGCGCAGGCGGUUUUGUAAGCCAGAUGUGAAAGCCCCGGGCUUAACCUGGGAAUGGCAUUUGGGACUGCAAGGCUCGAGUGCGGCAGAGGAGACUGGAAUUCCUGGUGUAGCAGUGAAAUGCGUAGAUAUCAGGAGGAACACCGGUGGCGAAGGCGGAUCUCUGGGCCGUAACUGACGCUGAGGAGCGAAAGCAUGGGGAGCGAACAGG
rnacentral:rRNA from 1 species